GGCAGAGGUGCCAAGCGUUAAUCGGAAUUACUGGGCGUAAAGCGUGCGCAGGCGGUUUUGUAAGCCAGGUGUGAAAUCCCCGGGCUCAACCUGGGAAUGGCAUUUGGGACUGCAAGGCUGGAGUGCGGCAGAGGAGACUGGAACUCUAGGUGUAGCGGUGAAAUGCGUUGAUAUCUAGGGGAACACCAAAAGCGAAGGCAGGUGGCUGGACCGUUUCUGACGCUGAAACACGAAAGCGUGGGUAGCGAAUGGG
rnacentral:rRNA from 1 species